rnacentral:rRNA from 1 species
GAUGAACGCUGGCGGCGUGCUUAACACAUGCAAGUCGAACGAACCUUCGGGUUAGUGGCGGACGGGUGAGUAACGCGUGAGAAUCUGCCCUCAGGAGGGGGAUAACGGCUGGAAACGGCCGCUAAUACCCCAUAUGCCGAGAGGUGAAACGAAUUUCGCCUGAGGAUGAGCUCGCGUCUGAUUAGCUAGUUGGUGGGGUAAAGGCCUACCAAGGCAUCGAUCAGUAGCUGGUCUGAGAGGAUGAUCAGCCACACUGGGACUGAGACACGGCCCAGACUCCUACGGGAGGCAGCAGUGGGGAAUUUUCCGCAAUGGGCGAAAGCCUGACGGAGCAACGCCGCGUGAGGGAUGAAGGCCUCUGGGCUGUAAACCUCUUUUCUCAAGGAAGAAGAUCUGACGGUACUUGAGGAAUAAGCCACGGCUAAUUCCGUGCCAGCAGCCGCGGUAAUACGGGAGUGGCAAGCGUUAUCCGGAAUUAUUGGGCGUAAAGCGUCCGCAGGCGGCCUUUUAAGUCUGUUGUUAAAGCGUGGAGCUUAACUCCAUUUAAGCAAUGGAAACUGGAAGGCUAGAGUGUGGUAGGGGCAGAGGGAAUUCCCGGUGUAGCGGUGAAAUGCGUAGAUAUCGGGAAGAACACCAGUGGCGAAGGCGCUCUGCUGGGCCAUAACUGACGCUCAUGGACGAAAGCCAGGGGAGCGAAAGGGAUUAGAUACCCCUGUAGUCCUGGCCGUAAACGAUGAACACUAGGUGUCGGGGGAAUCGACCCCCUCGGUGUCGUAGCCAACGCGUUAAGUGUUCCGCCUGGGGAGUACGCACGCAAGUGUGAAACUCAAAGGAAUUGACGGGGGCCCGCACAAGCGGUGGAGUAUGUGGUUUAAUUCGAUGCAACGCGAAGAACCUUACCAGGGUUUGACAUCCUGCGAAUCCCUUGGAAACGAGGGAGUGCCUUCGGGAGCGCAGUGACAGGUGGUGCAUGGCUGUCGUCAGCUCGUGUCGUGAGAUGUUGGGUUAAGUCCCGCAACGAGCGCAACCCACGUCUUUAGUUGCCAGCAUUCAGUUGGGCACUCUAGAGAGACCGCCGGUGAUAAACCGGAGGAAGGUGUGGAUGACGUCAAGUCAUCAUGCCCCUUACAUCCUGGGCUACACACGUACUACAAUGCUACGGACAAAGGGCAGCAAACUCGCGAGAGCUAGCAAAUCCCAUAAACCGUGGCUCAGUUCAGAUCGUAGGCUGCAACUCGCCUACGUGAAGGAGGAAUCGCUAGUAAUCGCAGGUCAGCAUACUGCGGUGAAUACGUUCCCGGGCCUUGUACACACCGCCCGUCACACCAUGGAAGUUGGCCACGCCCGAAGCCGUUACUCCAACCCUUGUGGAGGAGGACGUCGAAGGUGGGGCUGAUGACUGGGGUG